AAAAAAAUUACAAGGAAUGAAAAGGAAAAAUAAUAAUAAUAAUAAAAUAAAAACCUAGAUGAAUCACUGUGUUCCUUCUAGCUCCUUCUAGUCCCUUCUAAUGCCUGAGAUUAACCUGACUUAGCCUCAAGAGUCCAUCAUGCUCCUGUACAAGCCCCUUUUCCAUAACCCCACAUUUUCAUUUUCUCCCUCUCAAGAAUUCUAGGGUUCAUACUACAUGCAUACCUCGCCUUACAUUAAGGGAUAUAUGUAUAUAUAUAUAUAUAUAUAUAUAUAUAUAUAUAUAUACUUUAAGUUCUGGGGCACAUGUGCAGAAUGUGCAGGUUUGUUACAUAGAUACACAUGUGGCAUGGUGGUUCGCUGCACCCAUCAACCCAUCAUCUACAUUAGGUAUUUCUCCUAAUGCUGUCCCUCCCAUCGCCCCUCACCUGCAACAGGCCCCGGUGUAGGUUGUUACCCUCCCUGUGUCCAUGUGUUCUCAUUGUUCAACUCCCACUUUCUUAAAGGUUGUUUACCAGAUUUUGCAAACUAUGUUAUAUUGCUACUUGUUUCAUUUGUCCAAAGUCGUUGUCUUAUUAUCUAAUAGUUAUUCAAAUGACUGCUCUCCACCCUCCCAAUACUUCAAUUCCAACCCCUAGGACACAUCUUUCUCCUUUCAUCAUAGGUUCUUCAAGUCAUCUUCAAAUGAUUAGAACACAUAAAUGCAGUGGGAGGUAUGGCUUUGUGACUUCCCAUCUCCUAACUGACUGUCCUGAAAAUGUGGAAGUUUUCUUGACACUGAGUAGACCUGCAAGUGGCCACAGGAUACCAUUGUGCUGGAUACU
rnacentral:lncRNA from 10 species